rnacentral:rRNA from 1 species
GGAUUAGCUAGUUGGUGAGGUAAGGGCUCACCAAGGCGACGAUCCCUAGCUGGUCUGAGAGGAUGAUCAGCCACACUGGAACUGAGACACGGUCCAGACUCCUACGGGAGGCAGCAGUGGGGAAUAUUGCACAAUGGGCGCAAGCCUGAUGCAGCCAUGCCGCGUGUGUGAAGAAGGCCUUCGGGUUGUAAAGCACUUUCAGUCGUGAGGAAGGUGGUGUAGUUAAUAGCCGCAUUAUUGGACGUUAGCGACAGAAGAAGCCCCGGCUAACUCCGUGCCAGCAGCCGCGGUAAUACGGAGGGUGCGAGCG